GAGGCGGAGGGAAGGGGCCAGCCCCGAGCAGAGCAACAGGUACCGUCCGCAGGCCCAGAGGUGGCCUGGCGGCUUCCGCGCUGCUGCUGCCCGGCCUCGGCCUGUGGGUUGGAGCCCUGGGGGCCCGAGGGAACAGAGGCGGCUGCCCGCCGGCUGGAUGGCUAAGAGCUAGCAGAGCACAUUCAGGACCAUGAUGGCUCAGUUUCCCACAGCCAUGAAUGGAGGCCCGAACAUGUGGGCUGUUACCUCUGAAGAGCGAGCAAAGCAUGACAAGCAGUUUGAGAGCCUUAAACCGAUAGGAGGAUAUAUUACAGGUGAUCAAGCACGUACCUUUUUCUUGCAGUCAGGUCUACCAUCAUCAGUCCUAGCUGAAAUAUGGGCUCUUGCAGACCUGAACAAAGAUGGGAAGAUGGAUCAGCAGGAAUUCUCCAUAGCUAUGAAACUCAUCAAACUAAAAUUACAAGGUCAACACUUGCCUGUGGUCCUCCCACCGAUCAUGAAGCAACCUCCAGUAUUCUCGCCGUUAAUUUCUGCUCGCUUUGGAAUGGGUAGUAUGCCAAAUCUGUCCAUCCCAACAUCUGUGCCUACAAUUGCACCUUUAGCUCCCAUGUCAUCAUUGACCUCAGUGACUUCGAUUCCUCCCUUGGUUAUCUCUACUCCCCUGAUACCUUCUAUCAGUACAUCAUCAUUGCCAAAUGGAACAUCCAGUCUCCUUCAGCCUUUACCUAUGUCUUUCUCUUCAACAUUGCCUCAUCCUGCUUCUUUCAGUCCCAUGGCAGGAGGAUUUGGUGGUACUAAUAUACAGAAGGCACAGUCUCUGAUCGAUUUAGGAUCUAGUAGUUCAAAUUCUUCCUCCACCACUUCACUAACUGGGAAUUCACCUAAGACUGGAUCCUCAGACUGGGCAGUUCCUCAGGCCUCCAGAUUAAAAUACAGGCAGAAAUUUAAUAGCCUUGAUAAAAGCAUGAGUGGAUACCUAUCAGGAUUUCAAGCAAGGAAUGCCCUUCUGCAGUCAAACCUUUCUCAGACUCAGCUGGCUACCAUUUGGUCACUAUCUGACAUUGAUGGAGAUGGACAGCUGAAAGCAGAUGAGUUUGUGUUAGCCAUGCAUCUAACUGACAUGGCCAAAGCUGGGCAGCCUCUGCCAUUGACCCUGCCUCCUGAACUGGUACCUCCUCCUUUCAGAGGUGGAAAAUAUGCCGAAAAUGUUAAUGGAACUCUGCCAUUUUGCCAGCAAAUGCAAGAAGAGGAGCCCCAGAAAAAACAGCCAGUUACAUUUGAGGACAAGAGGAAAGCAAACUAUGAGAAAGGAAACAUGGAACUGGAAAAACGACGUCAAGUCCUACUGGAGCAGCAGCAGAGAGAGGCGGAACGUAAGGCUCAGAAAGAAAGAGAAGAACAGGAACGAAGAGAGAGGGAACUGCAGGAGCAGGAGCGGAAAAAGCAGCUUGAACUGGAAAGGCAUUUUGAGAAACAACGAGAGCUGGAAAGACAAAGGGAGGAAGAGAGGAGAAAAGAAAUAGAAAGGCGGGAGGCAGCAAAGCAGGAACUCGAGCGCCAGCGACGGCUGGAAUGGGAGAGAAUUCGACGCCAAGAUCUUCUUAAUCAGAGAAACAGGGAACAAGAAGAAAUUGUCAAGUUGACCUCUAAAAAGAAGAGCCUUAAUCUUGAAUUAGAAGCCCUGAGUGGCAAACAUCAGCAGAUCACAGGCAGACUGCAAGAUGUUCGAAGCAGAAAACAAAUUCAGAAAAGUGAGCUGGAAGCUCUAGAUAAAAAAUGUGAUUUGGGAAUUGUAGAAAUCAAACAGCUACAACAACAACUUCAGGAAUAUCAGAAUAAACUAGUCCAUUUAGUUCCUGAAAAGCAGUUAUUAAAUGAGAGAAUAAAACACAUGCAGCUGGACAACACUCCUAAUACAGGAAUCAGUUCAGUGAACAAGAAGUUCCUAGAAAAGGAAGAAUUAUGCCAAAGACUUCGGGAGCAAUUAAAUGCCCUAGAAAAGGAAACUGCUUCCAAACUCUCUGAAAUGGAUACCUUUAACAAUCAGCUCAAGUGUGAGAAUAUGGAUGAUUCUGUUCUUCAGUGCCUUUUGUCUCUGCUAAGCUGUCUCAACAACCUCUUCCUCUUACUUAAGGAACUGAGAGAAAGCUACAACACACAGCACUUAGCCCUUGAGCAACUUCAGAGGAUCAAACAAGAGAAAAUAAGAGCUGUAGAAAGAAAAAGAGCUGAGCUUGCACAGAAAAAGCGACUGGAGGAUGAGGCUGCAAGGAAAGCAAAACAGGGGAAGGAGAACCUAUGGCAGGAAAAUGUCCGAAAGGAAGAGGAGGAGAAAAAAAAGCGAUUACAGGAAGAGCGAAUAAAGGAAAAAAUUCAGGAAGAAAAACAAAAAGCUGAGGAGGCAGCUGCCCAAGUGAGAGAGAGGGAGUUCCAGUUGCAAAAACUGACUGAGGAGAAACAUGAGGAGGAGAGGAACAAGCUAGCUGAGAUUCAGAGAGAAACAGAACAACAAAGGCAGAGACAACUGGAAGAAGACAAGAGGAAGCAAGAACAAAUUGCAAAAGAAGCUGAGGAGAGGCGUAAACAGCAUGAAGAAGAGAAGAGAAGAAAAGAUACAGCCAACCUGCAAGAGUCAGAGAAACACACUUCAAAAUUAAACUUAAAUGAGAAAUUUGCAGACUUGUUGAAACAGACUGAGGGUAGAAAUCUUAAGCCUACGUGGAGAAGUGAAGGUAAUGUAGUUAGUGCCUCAGAAUCUAGGAAUUCAGCUGGCUUGGUGAAUUACAGAGCUUUAUACUCAUUCGAAGCAAGGAAUAAUGAUGAGAUGAGUUUUAAUUCUGAGGAUGUAAUUCAGGUUGAUGAGAAAACCGUGGGAGAGCCUGGUUGGCUAUAUGGGAGCUUUCAAGGUCAUUUUGGCUGGUUUCCAUGCAACUAUGUAGAAAAAAUAUCAGAAAGUGAAAAAGCUUUAUCUCCUAAAAGGGCCUUACUUCCUCCUACAGUAUUUUUGUCUACUACCUCAGCUCCUCCAGAACCACUUUCACCAAGUAGAUCAUCUGAAGACACUGAUUACCAAAACGUACCUUUCUCAAGCCUAACUGUUAACACAACAUGGCAGAAAAAAUCCGCUUUUACUCGUACUGUGUCCCCAGGAUCUGUUUCUCCUGUUCAUGGACAGGGACAAGCUGUGGAGAAUUUAAAAGCACAGGCACUUUGCUCCUGGACUGCAAAAAAAGAUAACCACUUGAACUUUUCAAAAAACGAUAUAAUUACUGUGCUGGAGAAGCAGGAAAACUGGUGGUUUGGAGAAGUGCAUGGAGGAAGGGGAUGGUUUCCUAAAUCCUAUGUCAAGAUCUUGCCUGGAAAUGAAAACAAACGAGAGGAACCCGAAACUAUUUAUGCAGCUGUAAACAAGAAGCCUAGUACACCAUCUUAUACCAUUGGAGAGGAGUAUGUUGCACUCUAUUCCUAUACAAGCUCCGAACCUGGUGAUUUGACUUUUGCUGAAGGAGAAGAAAUAUUAGUCACUCAGAAAGAUGGAGAAUGGUGGACAGGAAGCAUUGCUGACAGAACAGGAAUCUUUCCAUCAAACUAUGUCAAACCUAAGGAUCAAGAUGGUUCUGGUACUGCUGGCAGAACUGGGGCACUAAAUAAGAAACCUGGUGAGUCUGAUGUAACUUACAAAACUUCAGCUUAUUCUAUUUGUUCAUUAUUCACCAGUCUUUUUCUUAUUUCAGAGAUUGCCCAGGUGACUACAGCGUAUGCUGCAUCAGGGACAGAACAGCUUAGUCUGGCUCCAGGACAGCUGAUACUUAUUCUGAAGAAAAACCCUAGUGGAUGGUGGCAAGGAGAGUUACAGGCAAGAGGGAAAAAGAGGCAGAAAGGAUGGUUUCCUGCUAACCAUGUUAAAUUGUUGGGUCCAAGCAGUGAGAGAACUACUCCUGCUGCUCUCUCAGUAUGUCAAGUGAUAGCAAUGUAUGAUUAUGCGGCAAACAAUGAAGAUGAGCUCAGUUUCUCCAAGGGGCAGAUCAUUAAUGUACUGAGCAAAGAUGAUGCAGAUUGGUGGCAAGGAGAAAUCAGUGGUGUGACAGGUCUCUUUCCUUCCAACUAUGUGAAGAUGACCACAGACUCUGACCCAAGCCAACAGUGGUGUGCUGAUCUCCAAACUCUUGAUACUAUGCAGCCAAUGGAAAGGAAAAGACAGGGCUACAUUCAUGAGUUGAUCCAGACUGAAGAGAGGUACAUGGACGAUCUUCAGCUUGUCUUAGAGGUUUUCCAGAAACGAAUGGCUGAAUCAGGCUGUCUCACAGAAGAAGAAAUGGGAUUGAUCUUUGUUAACUGGAAGGAGCUCAUAAUGUCUAAUACAAAGUUACAUAAAGCCCUGCGUGUGCGUAAGAAGACAGGAGGAGAAAAAAUGCCUGUGCAGAUGAUUGGGGACAUCCUGGCUGCCGAGCUCUCUCACAUGCAGGCCUAUAUCAGAUUCUGCAGUUGCCAGCUCAAUGGAGCUGCAUUGCUGCAACAGAAAACAGAUGAAGAAACAGAGUUCAAAGACUUCUUAAAGAAACUAGCCUCUGACCCUCGCUGUAAAGGAAUGCCGCUCUCCAGCUUCCUGCUGAAGCCUAUGCAGAGGAUUACACGCUACCCUCUGCUCAUAAAGAGUAUUCUGGAGAAUACCCCAGAAAACCACCCAGAUCACAGUAAUCUCAAACUGGCCUUGGAACGCGCAGAGGAGCUGUGUUCUCAAGUUAAUGAAGGCGUGCGUGAGAAAGAGAACUCAGACAGGCUGGAGUGGAUACAGUCCCAUGUACAGUGCGAAGGACUUUCUGAGCAACCGAUUUUCAACUCCAUUACAAACUGCCUGGGUCCCCGAAAGCUCCUGCACAGCGGCAAGCUCUACAAAACAAAGAGCAAUAAGGAACUAUACGGCUUCCUCUUCAAUGACUUCCUGCUCCUUACCUACAUGGUCAAGCAGUUUGUUUCUUCAGGGUCAGAUAAACUGUUCAGCCCCAAGUCCCACUCUCAGUUCAAAAUGUAUAAAAUGCCUGUUUUCCUUAAUGAAGUCCUAGUGAAAUUGCCAACUGACCCUUCGAGUGAUGAGCCAGUUUUCCAUAUCUCCCACAUUGACAGAGUCUACACGCUAAAAACAGACAAUAUUAACGAGAGGUGAGUACUGGAAAUGCUGAGCCUUUUGAGGCCUGGGUGAGCCCUAUGGAAGAAAAUAAUAUUUAAGCCAGACACUCCGGUGGCUCUUUGCAGUUUAAGGGCAGCAGAACUUCUACCAGAUUACUCCUUUUUACACGAAUGUGGGAGUGCUUACACCGUGCAGAACUCACUUCAGACACACAUGGACAAGCGGAAGGCAUGGGGAAGCUUUCCAUUGACUCACUGGGUGUUAGAUCAGACCCAUGGUACACAGAGAGAGACUGUUUUGCCCUCAUCAUGCUGGUCUAAAUCAGGAUGAACUGCUUUGAAGUCAGUGGAAUUACAAGCUGGUGUGGGAGGAGGGUCUUUGUAAUAAGCCAUCAGCUCUUCUUAGCUACAUUUUUGUCUGUGCUGAAAGGCUGAUGUCUUACCAUACCUCUGCUGUCAGCAAAAAUAUAUGUUUAACCCACUAGCAGUGUGUCUGCAGUUCCCUCUAGUGCUGUUCCACAGAGAGGAUGACAACUUAUUACAGCUAUCCGUAACGCCAUUAGCUGAAGUGGAAGAGGUCUGUGUGGUGGAUCUAAAGGUUUCGAUCCUGCUGAUGACCCGUGUAUCAAUAUGAUACAGCUAGUGGAAUUCAUUUUUUUCAGUUUGCUUUUUUGAAAACCUAGAAAAUUACACACAAAAAAUUGUGUUAAAAGAACAUUGUUAAGGAUGCAAUGUCAACCACUCAAAAGUUAGAGGUGCUGAGGAAAAAGUAGUACGUGAUCACGUAGUUAAAGACCAUAUCCUAAUGUAGACACACACGGGGACUGAACUAAGGGUGCACGGGCAUCCCUAAUUGUGGCAUUUCUUAACUCUUGAGUGCUUGACUUUGCAAUCUUAAUAAUGUUUUUUUAACAUAGUGGUUUUGUGUGUAAUAUCCCAUGUAUAGGCUACCCACAUGUGCCAGACUAAUUUUUAGUUCAUGUCCUUUUCCUGAUACAUAAUUAGCACAGGGUUCUCUUUGUCUAAACCAACAUAUUGUGUAAAAUUGAUUCACCCUUUGGAGAAGGUUUAAAUUACACUAAAAAUGUUGUUCUCCAUAAAAUUGAUUGCAAAAUUCUCAGCCUGUAUGAGAUUCACCCCACUCAUCGCUACUCACACCACAUACCAGUACCAGAGCACACGUACCAGCUAAGGAGGUGGCUGGUGCCAGUGCUCUGGACUGGGUCGGGUAGGCAAGAGACCAUUUUUCUGAUAAUUUCCCAUGGUAGUUGGGGGCAAUGGACCAGGCUUCUGCUAGGUCCCCUUACUCCAAAGAUGGCCACAAAGGCACCUUCACAAAGCCCAUAAAGGGGGGAGCACAUCCUAACCUUCGCUUUGUUAGACUCCCAAGAGCUCAAUCUAAUUGGUAUAUCACUAUGAAGCUGGUUUUCCAGACCCAUAAUCGUUCUCAUGGUUCUUCUCUGAACCCCCUCCAAUUUAUCAACAUCCUUCUUGAAUUGUGGGCACCACUAUUCCAGCAGCAGUCACACCAGUGCCAAAUACAGAGGUAAAAUAACUUCUCUACUUGUGCUUGAAAUUCCCGUUUAUGCAUCUCAGAAUCACAUGAGCUUUUUUUGGCCAUAGUUUCGCACUGGGAGCUCAUGUUCAGCUGAUUAUCCACUACAACCCCCAAAUCUUUUUCAGAGUUGCUGCUUCCCAGGAGAGAGUCCCCCCUCCUGUAAGGACCGGCUACAGUCUUUGUUCCUGGGUUAUCCAUUUACAGUUAGCCAUAAUUUUACAUCAAAUGAAUAGAUGAUGGUGGGACCCUCGUGGUCAAGGAGACCUAAGAUCAGGUUAGCUCAAAAGAAGGGAACAAAAAAAUGUGACUUGAAUUAGAGACAGUGAGAUUUAUUAAGUGUUGCUGGAAUAACGGCAAGAUUCUUAGCUCCAAAAUGACUCUGCAGGGAUUAAUUUUCACAGGACGGCCUGGGUCCAGAAGAUCAAAGGAGCAUCGGAGCAGUAUAUCGAAACCGAGAAGAAGAAACGGGAAAAAGCUUAUCAAG